AUGACAUUGUUCAAACAUUUUGCUAUAUUACCGGUAAGAAAAACACAACAAGUUCCCGCAGCAACGCGCGGGGUAUCACCUAGUUUAAUAAGUGACCAUUCCCUUGAAUUCCUGAGUCUACAGGAAACCAUGAAGAAAAACUUCUCCCCUAAAUGCUUGAGAAAAAUUGACCCUUUUAGUAUCUUUGAGUGGGUCUGGAUCCCCUCAUGUGGCAAAUCAGGUGGUAUCAUUGCAGGGGCUAGAAAAGACAUUUUGGACUUGAGUUCCAACAAGAAAGGAAAGUUCAUGAUCCAGCUUGAUCUAAUAGAUAAGAAGAACAAAUCUGAAUGAAGUAUUCUAGUGGUAUAUGGCCCAGAUCAUGAGGAGAUGAGGGAGGAGUUCCUACUAGAACUUGCUCAAUUCUGUUCUGAUAUGAACAAACCCUACAUAGUUGGGGGAGACUUUAACAUCUUGAGGCAUGGUGGAGAGAAGAACAAAAAAUUACAUGGACAUAAAUCUAUGGACAUGUUCAAUUCUGUCAUUAAUGCAUAUGGCCUGAGGGAGAUUUAUUGUAGUGGAGGGAAAUAUACUUGGACAAAUAACCAGACCCACCACACUUUGGAAAAGCUAGACAUGAUUUUAAUGUCUAGUGACUGGGAAAACCUAUACCCAUUGGCAACUUUUAGAAAGCUGGUUAGAGAGUUAUCUGACCAUAAACCCCUACUCCUUUCCUCAGGAGACAUGGGCAGGGAGGCACAUAAACCUAGGGAGUUCAGGUUUGAUCUGGCCUGGUUUAAAAAUGAGGACUUUCUAACCUUAGUGGAGAAAAUCUGGAAUAAAGCGGUUAAAGCUGAAGAUCCUAUUGAUAUUCUUAAUAUCAAAAUAAAAAGGUUUAAAACCUUCUUCAAAGGGUGGGGGUCCAAUAAGUACGGCCAUACCAAGAAAAGAAAAGAAGAACUAAGAGUAUAA
rnacentral:rRNA from 1 species